CUUUGCAAUAUCUGUGACAUUUACUAGCAGUUUCUCAGUGAAAAUUGUAAAUCAUUCUCCCUUUUUUCAGUGCAUGCAGUGUACUAAUUGGAACUUACAAAAGGAAUUCAAGAGCCAAUAAUAUUUGUAAUAUAAAAUUCCAGGUUUAUUACACAACUAGAUUAGUAAGCAAGUUACAGAAGAGGAGAAAUGCAAAUAGAUGGUCAAAGUCAUCCAAAACAUGACUGUAUUACUGUGGAAUGGAAAAUGAAAGAGUCAAUUUGGGUGAACCAAUGUUUUCAUACAAGACAUGGUUUCCAGGGUAGUUUCCUGACGGGGUUGAUCACCGACUCAUGGGGAAAGGGGUAACAAGCCAUGCUUUGCACUUACGCCCGUGGGAUUCACAGAGAACAAACAAGUUGUUAAUUGUGUGUGGGCAAGUGGCCUCGUAGCAAGGGAACUUUACUAACUAUUAACCAGUGUGUCUUCCAGAGAAAUUCAACUGAAGAUUACAUUUUCUGUGAUGUAACAUCAAUAGCCACACUGAGAUGCUGCCUGUUUCAAAUUCAAAUACAUGCACAGGUGGAACCCAAAUCAUUGUGGCUCUGUUUCAGUGAAACGGUUGACAUCUAUUAGAAGACAUUGUCACUGAUAACAUGCUCCAUUGCAGAUCAAAGCAGAAUAUCAUGCUCAGAGGUCAUGGGAGGUUAGGUAUGUUCCACAGUGCCAAUUAUGACAGCUCAGGUUUGCAUAGCUCUUAAUGAAAAUUUGUCUCCAACGUCAUGGAUGCAAACCACCAUUAGAAUAAUUCACAGGCAAAGGGAUUUUUCUUUUACUAAUGCGUGCCUUGCUUAUUGUUUGUUGUGAGACCAUUUAAAAUAGUGAAAUGAAUCAGCAACUCACCAGCAUCCAUAAACACAUCAAUAUUCUUGAUUUAAUUUUCAUUUAAAUUUCAUGCUUUCAGAUGGCGUUGGGAGCAAUAUGUUGCACCAUUGAUAUAAGCAAGACUCGGAGGUCUUCAAAAAUAGGAUUUCUUUUUUGUCUAUUACUGCAAAUGAGUCUACUCUCUAAAGUGUGGACUACCACAAUGACUAGUACAACAACCACUCUGACAACAGAUGGGACAUCAUCAUCAGUGUCAGAAGCUGAAAUCCAGAGUUCAACCACUCAAUCUACAAUUCCAGUAAUAGUGUCCUCCUCCACUUCUUCUGACCAAACGUCAUCUAUAGCCACAUCAGGCACUUCCGUGACAGAAGCUUCAUCAACAAUUGCUAGUACAGCAACCACUUUGACAACAGAUGCGAUAUCAUCUACAAUAUCAGAAACUGAAAGCCAGAGUUGGACCACUCAAUCUACAAUUCCAGUAAUAGUGUCCUCCUCCACUUCUUCUGACCAAACGUCGUCUACAGCCACAUCAGGCACUUCCGUGACAGAAGCUUCAUCCACAAUGGCUAGUACAGCAACCACUCUGACAACAGAUGCGAUAUCAUCAUCAAUGUCAGAAGCUGAAAUCCAGAGUUCAACCACUCAAUCUACAAUUCCAGUAAUAGUGUCCUCCUCCACUUCUUCUGACCAAACGUCAUCUAUAGCCACAUCAGGCACUUCCGUGACAGAAGCUUCAUCAACAAUUGCUAGUACAGCAACCACUUUGACAACAGAUGCGAUAUCAUCUACAAUAUCAGAAACUGAAAGCCAGAGUUGGACCACUCAAUCUACAAUUCCAGUAAUAGUGUCCUCCUCCACUUCUUCUGACCAAACGUCGUCUACAGCCACAUCAGGCACUUCCGUGACAGAAGCUUCAUCCACAAUGGCUAGUACAGCAACCACUCUGACAACAGAUGCAAUAUCAUCAUCAAUGUCAGAAGCUGAAAUCCAGAGUUCAACCACUCAAUCUACAAUUCCAGUAAUAGUGUCCUCCUCCACUUCUUCUGACCAAACGUCAUCUAUAGCCACAUCAGGCACUUCCGUGACAGAAGCUUCAUCAACAAUUGCUAGUACAGCAACCACUUUGACAACAGAUGCGAUAUCAUCUACAAUAUCAGAAACUGAAAGCCAGAGUUGGACCACUCAAUCUACAAUUCCAGUAAUAGUGUCCUCCUCCACUUCUUCUGACCAAACGUCGUCUACAGCCACAUCAGGCACUUCCGUGACAGAAGCUUCAUCCACAAUGGCUAGUACAGCAACCACUCUGACAACAGUUGCGAUAUCAUCUACAAUGUCAGAAACUGAAAGCCAGAGUUCGACCACUCAAUCUACAAAUCUAGUAAGAGUGUCCUCCUCCACUUCUUCUGACCAAACGUCGUCUACAGCCACAUCAGGCACUUCCGUGACAGAAGCUUCAGCCACUAACAUACAAAGCACUACUUCUAACAGUUCUACUGUUGCCUCAACAGGCAUUACUAGUAUGGACACAGCAAAUACAUCUUCUUCAGAAAAUUACACUGCUCUAUCCUGUCCAGCAUUUGAUUGCACAAAAGAUUGUUAUGUCCAGUUUAUGAAUACGACGGCUAAACCUUGCCAAUCCAGUGAAUAUUUCUGUAAGAUAACGCAACAGGACACAGGUUACUCUGUCAGCUGCAGUGCCUCAUGUGGUGUAUCCUGCGGGAACGGGACUGUCAGUAAUUGCUCUGUGCACUGUUGCAACACAACCAACUGCCUCAGCAACACCCUGCUUGACAUGUCCAGUUCACUCAGUACAACAGUAGCUACAACAAACUCCACUACUACAACCACAACAAUCAAGGCCACAGUUACAACCACCCAAGCAAAUAAUGGCAAGAAGUGUAAUACUUUCAACUGUAAUGGGGUGGCGUGUUACAAAACCAAUAAUGUCGGCAGUAAUGUCAUGCUGUGUCCAGUUGGUCAGGACUACUGCAUGCUACAAAAGACAACAUCUGGCAGUGCAGAGAGCUGGCAGGCAGGUUGCAGUACAGAUUGCAGAAAGAUGACAGUUUGUUCAAGCACCACUACUAUCUGCCACUUGGAGUGCUGCAAUGCCACUACCACCUCAUGUCUCAAACUGUCAGGUGACAUGAACAUGCCCAGCUCCGCCACCAGAGGUCCUCACUGUCCCGCACUGCUCAUGGCCUCUUUGCUGCUCUUUUGGAUAGUCAAAGUCUUUACUUGAGUGUAACAAAGUCACACUUAAUACGCAAUCCAGGGAAGCUCUGUUUUCUGUUAGGAGAGUGUAUGUGUGCUUUAAAGCUGAGUGUAUUUCUUUCACUGUCACUUUUAUAUUAUUUGUGAUGCAAGCAAAUGAAAAUGUGUGUGUGUGUGUGUGUGUGUGUAUAGAUGCCAAAUAAGCUUUACCAUGGGCAUCCAUAGAGAGUUAUGUCAAGUGGAAACAUGCCUGUUGUUGGAUUCUUUAUUUCACAGAGACAGAUAGAAAUGAUCCACCAAGAAAUAUGUUAACACUGCAGAGACAAAUAUGAGGUUAGCUUCCUCUCAAGAGUUGUGAUUAAUUCUUCCUUUUUUUGACAUUAAUGUACACUGUAAGAAAAAAAUCAGUAGAAAAUGGAUGAUGUCUUGGCAGAAAAUUACAAGUAUCAUUUCCGUUAAGUUUAUGGACAUUUCCUUCAACCCUAAAACUCAAUUAAAAAUCCCGGAAAAACACUGUGAAAAAUGUAUAAAUAUUAACAUGGCUUUUCUUACAGUUUACAUAUGUUUGAAUUUUGAUUACAGUCGAUCAUAGUUAUCUGAGGCUUCUUUACUUACUCGUAUUUUGUUUGGUGUCCAUUGUACAAAGGUUUUGUGCUUUUUAAAAAAGCAAAUUUCUAUUCUAUAUUACUCAAAAUACUUCAAAGAAUAUUAUCAUAAUGCUCAGAUAAUCCAUUUUCUGAUACUAAUUAUAUGAUAUAACACAUUUGUUGUCCAAUCAGACAGAGUUCACCCUGUGUGCAUGCAAAAAUAAUAGUUAUGUACAAACCAGUUAAUGCCAAACGAAUGGAGUAUGCACUUUAUGCAUCUAAAUGGAAAUUAGACAAUUUAAAAUAUUUAUAAUGCAUUUAUAAUAUUGGACAUAUGAAAGCCUGUGGGUAAAACCCAUACUCAUAAACAAAAAGCUUUAUUUUUACAGAGAAAUAUGUUUAUUAAAAUGUAAGUGUACAGAUCUAAGAGUAUAGGCUAAUAACUUUUGAAUUAACAAAUUCUGUCAGAGUAAAACUACAGAUAAUCUAAUAAAGGUAAUGAUUAGGAGUUUGACAUCUUGACUGAUAAGGGUUGCAGUGAUGUUUAUUGCUCUGUACUUCUUUAAUCUGACAGCAAUGAAACAGCUUCACUGUUGCACAAGAAAUAUAUUUUAACAAUUGCUCUUAAAAUUAAUAAAUAAAUGUUUUGUCUUCUCAGCACCCAGUCUAUCAUGUAUUUGUAAAUUUUCUUGUUUUUUACAUUCUUCUAAAAAUGUAUCUUCUUGAACUUCUGGAACUUCUGUAUUAGAUUGACCUGGUUAACCAGUCUGCAUUAAAGGGAUAGUUCACCCAAAAAAAUGCUCACUCUCAAACCAUCCUAGGUGUAUAUGACUCUUCUUUCAAAAAACAGUCUGAGUUAUAUUAAAAAAUGACCUGAAGUGGUGUUCCGGCAGAUGACAUAGGAGAUAGAGUAAGCUUUGGUGAGAAUACGCUAGUCUUGCAAAAUCCCAGUUUUAUUAACAGCAAAGGAAAACAAGUCUCCUCUUGAUUUAUAUUAAAAUCCUCUAACAUUUUUCUUUACAAAUCCUCAUUUCGUACUUCUAAUUCGUGACCAGUGUUUUGUUUUGCUCUCUCCUCUGCACUUCCGUGUUCACCACGUCUCACCAGAGCUUACUCUAUGCCUACAUCCUACAUCAUCUGCCGAAUGCCACUCUCUCGUGAACAGAAGUACGACAGUUUGCAGAAGCUAGAGAUUACGGAUUAUAAAGUUGUAAAUAUGGAUAUUUUUUCUUACACAAACGCAUCGUUUCACUUCAGAAGGCAUUUAUUAACCCUCUGGAGCCAUGUGAAGUACUUUUUAUGAUGGAUGGAUGCACUUUUUUGGGCUUCAAAAUCUUGACCACCAUUUAUAGUCAUUAUAAAACUUGGAAGAGCCAGUACAAUUUUUAAUAUAACUCUGAUUAUAUUCAUCUAAAAAAAGAAAGUCUUAUACACCUAGGAUGUCGGGUGAGUAAAUCAUGGGGUAAUUUUAAUUUUUCAUUUGAAUUAGAUCUGAUUAAUACACAACUGUGUCAGUCACAUAAAUUAUCUAAUUAAACAUCAUGCAGGUUUAGGAAUAUUGUAUACAGACAGAUGAAAGACUAUGAGGAGGUAUAUUUAGAUAUGGGUAAAAUAAAAUACUAAAAUACAACUAUUACUAUACUAUUCAGUAUUUUAGAAUAGAAUAAUACUAAUCGUUUUUGCAAUAUUCAGCAUGUGUAGUUUAAUAAGCAAAGUUUAAAAGGAAUACCUGAAAAAUGUUGGCUACAAUAUACAACAAAGUACAUUACAUACACUAAAAGGACAAAAUUAUUGGUACACGUCUUAAUUGUUUAAUGCAGGUGUUUCAAUCAGACUUAUUACCACAGGUGUAUAAAAUCAAGCACCUAGUCAUGCAGUCUGCAUUUACAAAUAUUUGCACUAAAAGUGUGUGUGUGGGGGGGGGGGUCAUUCUGAAGAGUUAAGUGAAUUCAGACAUGGUGUGUAUAAGUCGACAACACUCCGGUGAUUCCAUCGCUGAAGAGUUCCAAACUUCCACUGGCAUUAAUAUCAACACAAAAACUGUGCAGUUGGAGCUUCAUGGAAUGGGUUUCAGUGGACAAGAAGCUGCAUGCAAGACUCUCUUCACCAAGCAUUGGCUGAAGUAGUGUAAAGCACACCACCACUGGACUCUGGAGCAGUGGAAACUUCUUAAUGCUUCAGCAUACCAAGAUAACUUUGUGGGAACUGUUUGGGGAAGGCCCUUUUCUAUUCUUACUUGUACCCAGUGCACAAAGCAAGGUCCAUAAAUACAUGAUUGGAUGAGUUUGGUGUGGAAGAUCUUGACUGACCCACACAGAGCCCUGACCUCAAGUCUAUCAAACACCUUUGAAAUGAACAUCAGUGCCUGACCUCAAAUGCUCUACUGAAUGGGCAAAAAUUCCUACAGAAACAUUCCAAAAUCUUGUGGAAACCCUUUCCAGAAUGGAAGGUGUUGUUAGAAAAGGGGGAUCAACUUCAUUAAUGUCUAUGUAUUUAAACGCAAUGUCAUUAAAAUCCCAAGGUGUCAGGUGUCUUAAUCAGUGGUGGAUUAAGGUAUGGGCGACAUGGGCAACCACCCAGGGCAGCAUCUAGAGUGGCGGCACAAGAAAAAAAAAAGGAAUGCGCUAUCUGGUUUUUACCAUUCAUUUGCACUGUACGUCAAUAUCAUGUCACCUUGUGGGUCAGUUAACCUGGUCAAGAGUGCACCCGGAGAAGUACUCUCUCACUCAGACACAGACAGAGGGUGAACCAACUCCAGAAGCCUAAAAUUUAGACUUAUAACUACACAAAUCACAAACCUGGGCUGCGUUUCCCGAUAAGGAUGUCUCUCAGCGUGCUACGAAGACUUUAAAGGUAUACCUUAACUAGGGGUAUACCUUUCCUAGGUGUGUUCCCCGAACUAUACCUUAGGAUGUUGCUUAAGGUAAACCUUCUUACGUGCAACGUUAGCAGGUGCUAUCCCUGGUGGUGGUGCUGAAUAGGUUGAUAUCGAUGGCUCCAGAAUCGAUUGUUCACUAUAUACAGGAGCUCUUUCACUGCGUUACAGAGCGGGUAAUGUAUUGAGAAAGCGAUAUUCAUUAUAAAGAAACACUUUAGAAAAAAUAGAAAUUGCAUUUAUCGGGGCUCACUGCAUUUAUAAAAUAAUCCAAAUUUCAAACUAAAUGCGACCUUGGACAACAUAUAUAUAUAUAUAUAUAUAUAUAUAUAUAUAUAUAUAUAUAUAUGUGUGUGUGUGUGUGUGUGUGUGUGUGUGUGUGUGUGUGUGUGUGUGUUUAUGUACAGUAUGUAUGUACAGUAUGUAGCCUAUAAUUUGGCAAGUGUCCGAACCUGCAACCCUUACAGCCAAAAGUAUUCUGCCUUAACCCUCUGGAGUCUAAGGGUAUUUUUGGGGCCUGGAGAAGUUUUGUCAUGCCCUGACAUUUGUGCUUUUUUCAGUUUCUUAUAAAUAUCUAAAUGGCUAAAGUCUAAUCUCACUGUAAUCAGCACAAACUAGGCUAUAAUAAUAUGUGAGCAGCAUGUAUGUACAUGAUUGUGUUUUUUUGAGAAAAAAAUGUUAUGCGUGGUUAGUGAAAAAAACUAAAAAAAUGUUAAAUCACUUGAAAAAGGCAAUAAAACACAUACAGAAAAUUGGUUCCCAGGAAUUUUGAGAACUGGAGCUUGUAGCCUAGAAUUUUUUUUUUCUAAAUGAUGUGUAAAUCAUCUUGUUUACUCACUUACAGAAAACGAUAUAUUGAUUUAAAUUUUCUAAGACAGUUUUUGUUGGUAAAAGUCAUAUGCGAGUAGGCGUCAACUAUCAUGAAUUCACACCUGAGAAGACAAAGGCCUGCAUAAUGAGCUGCAUAAUGAGCCAUUCAGUCAGCUGUGUCACUGAGAGGGAUGAGUUACAAGAAAGAAUGUGAGGACAAAAUAAAUCUAUAUAAUUUUAUGUUUGUAGUUUAUUUAGAAUACAUUUAAUUAUCCCACAACAUAAUUUAAUAUUCACUUGUGAGUGCAGUUAAACAGUUUAUUAGGAAAAAUCAAAGCUGACUUUCAAACUGAAUUUUUUGCAUCAUUACUCCAGUCACACAGUCCUUCAGAAAUCCUUUUUAACAAUCUUAUUUUCUACAAAAACAUUUAUUGUUAUUAUUAUCAUCAUCAUCAUUAUUAUUAUUAUUAUUAUUAUUAUUAUUAAUGUUGAAAAGAGCUGAGAAUAUUUUUUUUAGGUUUUUUAGGGGGGAUAAAUUGAAAGAACAGCAAUGAUUGUUACAUUUGUUACAGUUACAUUUAUUGUUACAUUUAUAUUAUUUACAUUAAGCUUUUUGAAUGGUAUAGUGGUGUAUAUUGUUAUUGAAACUUCAUAAU
ensembl:lncRNA